ACAAACUUUAACAGACUCUAAACAUUAUUUCACACGUAAGCACCACCAAGUAUUUAGAAACUUUGAAUAGUUUGAAAGCGAGGCUGAUGAGCUACAGACCCGAUUGAUACACUGUACCUUUGAAAUGCUCUUGUACUUUCUUCCAGAACUGAGGUAGCUGCUAAGUGAAGACAGGCUUUUGUAUGCAUUCUCUAGUGGCAAGAAUCCGGGAAAAGUAAAUGCGGUGUCUCUAAGUUUUACUAUAGAUGCUGCCCCCACACAAGUGAAACUCCACUUAGGACUCCACAGCAUCUGCCCAAGCUUUAUUAUGGAAUCCAGGCAACACGAGGCUUUACGACCAUUUCAUCAAGGCCCAGACUCACACCAUUAACUGUCUACAGUGGAGUAAGUGCUGUGAAUGCCAAGAUUUGCCUCCGGCUUCACUAUCACCAUCCUGAGGGUUGGGUCCGGGCCUCUCUGACGCACGUGCAUCUCUCGGAGUGCUUUGUGUAGUCAUCAGUCAUCGCUGUUGUUGCAUAUUCCCGUCAAUCUUCUGUGUCCUGCUACCUCCCUAGCCUGAAGAAAGCAUGCAGAUGAUGCCAUAAAACGACUGUAAAACUAAAUAUCUAGAGCUAUCCAUAGCUCAGCUCCCCUCAGGCAGCUUUCACCACUAGCUUUGGAAUGAAGAAGGGUCUCUGGGAUUGAAUCAGCCAUUCUCACCGCAAACUAAAACAGGAAACCCUCAGAAUCAGGGUCACCAGAUGAAGUUAUUACCCACAUAAGAUGGUUUUCUAUAGAAAGAGAGCUUCUAUUGACACUUACAAGCCAAAAAUACUAUAUAGAUCAAUUAGAACAUCAAAAUCAUGGGACUCGGAAGAGAUUUCUUGACACCCCUGGAUAACAUGGAAAUGGAAAAACUUUUCUUAUAAACCAACUUACUGCCAAUAGUCCUGGAAUGUUUCCUUGUACUCUUCUUUUGGGGUAUAGAGAAUGCCUUAAAAAGCAGCGUCCCAAAUUUAAACACAUCGAACAGGAACUUCCGGAAUACUUUGCAACUUACCAGUUUGUAUGCUGCUAUACUAUAGAGUGCAAAUGGCCAAUAUGUACCCAUCUAACAAAGCGAACAGUUACCGCUCACUGCGAAAGAUGAAGAGGAAGGGUCCAGACAAAGCCAAGGCAACUAUCCAUUGGUCAACUGGAAAAGAACGAAGCACAAAGGCCAAAUGUUCAGUCAUGUCUUAGUGUUUCCAAUUCUUACACAUUUGGCAAAUGCACGUGAAAUGCUGCACAUUACACACACCUGCCAUCAAGUCGGUGAAUAUACCUGUCUCAUGUUCAGUGGAAAAAAAGCACUAGCUUUACAGUUGAAAAACAUGGUAGAAAAUCAGAAUAUUUAAGAUAAGUCAUAUUUUGGCUUUGAAAGUGAAUUUUCAAAGGUUCAGAAGCAUCAUAAUGACCAGAGAAAUAACCUGGCAGAAGGCCUGUACCCAGAGUCCCCUUCUCUAGCCAUCUUCCAAACACCUAUCUGUGAAAGAGAGAAAACAACACCUGGAUAAAAGAAAGUGACACUGAUCUCAACGUUGAGAUCCCAAAGGAGAAACAAGAAGGCUAAACUUACUAUUUCAUGCCACUCUUUAUUUAACUUACCAUAAUUUGCACAGAUGAUUUCUCAAAACUCUUAUUACACAUGAGCCAGAUUUUACACAGGGAGGACUUUGGGUAUGGUGCUUUAUUAUUUGAAUCUGCUGUUUUAUAACUGAAAUUAUUUCUGAGGGGCACUGUGAGGGCUGUCUUUCGUUACCAAGGAAGGCAGAUUUGUGUCCCAGUGCAUUACACCAGCACCAUGUGGAGGCCAGCGCUGGUACUACAUGUCCAGUUUCCAAUGGAGCUGUAGUUAGAAAACUGUUUGUGCUCACAAUUUGUUUCCUGUGAAUAACAAAAUAAAGACUGAGGUUUAUGCAGUGAGAAUGUUCUGAACACAGCCACUUUUCAUCACUAACAGUUUGGGUUCUGCUGCUUAAGAGAAAGGAUUUAAUAUUUUAAUAGAAUAUUUAAAAUUUAAGAACAUUAAAAUUUCUGUCCUGUUAAUACUUAACAAACGCCUUAAAAGUUUGAAAAGAUGGCCAUAAACAUGUCAG
rnacentral:lncRNA from 1 species